AGGGUUCGAUUAUGGCUCAGAUUGAACGCUGGCGGCAUGCCUUACACAUGCAAGUCGAACGGCAGCACGGACUUCGGUCUGGUGGCGAGUGGCGAACGGGUGAGUAAUACAUCGGAACGUGCCUGGUAGUGGGGGAUAACUACUCGAAAGAGUGGCUAAUACCGCAUGAGAUCUACGGAUGAAAGCAGGGGAUCGCAAGACCUUGUGCUACUAGAGCGGCCGAUGGCAGAUUAGGUAGUUGGUGGGAUAAAAGCUUACCAAGCCAACGAUCUGUAGCUGGUCUGAGAGGACGAUCAGCCACACUGGGACUGAGACACGGCCCAG
rnacentral:rRNA from 1 species